GGCAUGUGGGAUCUUCCCGGACCGGGGCACGAACCCACGUCCCCUGCAUCAGCAGGUGGACCCCCAACCACUGUGCCACCAGGGAAGCCCCUAAAGACCCCUUUGACUGCUUUGCAUAAGAGUGAAUUGGAAGAGGGCAAGCAUGGGAACAGUGAAGCAGGAGGCUUUGCACUGGUGCAGGUGAGAGAGGGGGAUGGCCUGGGCAGGUAAUGGGAAUAAAAUAGAAGUGGACAGAUACGGGAUACAUUUUAGAAUUAAUGGGAGUCAGGUGGAUUCAAGGUACAGGCUGAGAAAAAGGGACUCAAGGAAAAUUCCUAGGUUUUCUGCCUUGAGCAGUUGGGUGACUUGCUGAAAUGAGGACGGUGGGGAGGAAAAUCAGGAGUCCAGGUAAACACACGUCUUGGGUGCCUGUGAGUCACUCAGAUGGAGACGUUCCAAAGGCUGUUGUGAAACAGCCUGAAGCUCAGGGUAGAGGUGGGAACCUUGGAGAUGUAAAUUUAGGAAUCAUUAGCAUAAAAUGCUAUUGAAAGUAUUGGGAUUGGGUAAGACCCCUAGAAAGAGAUGAAAAGAUAGAACAAGACUGAAGCCGCUUAAGGAGUUUGCCACGUCCAGAUGGAAACGGGGAGCCACGGACAGAGUUGAAUCGGGAGGUUAACACAGUCACGUUUGUGUUUUAGGAAGAUUUCUGACUUCCGGAGUCACUUAGAGGCAGGCAUGACUCGAAAGAGGAGACCAGAGAAGAGGCUGCUGUGAUACAUGUUUUGGGAGAUGAGAGUAACUUUAUCCAGGAAAGUGUUAAAAGGGAUGGAGAUAACUAACUAAACGGAUCAAGAGAUAAUUUUGAAUAGUGUGGACAAAACUUGAAGACUGAUUAGGGGUAUGAAAUGAGGAUAAGAUUAAGGUCAAGGGUUAUGCCUCUAAAUUUCUAGUUCAAAACCGGGCAGAUCAUGGUACCCUUUCACCAUCAUGAAAAAGUUUGGGGAACGGUAAAGACAGAUUGCUAAUUUUGACAUGCCUAGACAUUUCAGGCUAGGUGGUGAGUAAACAUUUGUACAUUCAUGUGUGGACUGCAGGAGAGAGAGCUGAAUCAUCACCCGUAAGCUGUCUCAAAGCUGUCGACGCAGCCAAGAUUAGCCAGGGAGAACAAGUUGAGUGAGAAAAAGGCCUAGGAUGAAAACCUAGGGAAUUUCCAAUAUGUCAGAGUCAAUAGAGGGAGAGGGAUUUGCAGAAGAGGCUGAAAAAGAGCAGCCGGCGAAGUAGGAGGAAAGCAAGGUAAAAGGGACGUCGUGUCCCCGGUUCCAGACAUUGGUCAUUCGACACGUCGUUUAUUCCUUGUCACAGUCCGGCAAGCAGGUAUGUCUCAUCUCCAUGUUAACAGAAGGCCGCACUGAGACUCAGAAAGGUGAAAUGGCCUCGCCAAAGACUCUUAUCCAGAAAACAGAGCACGUGUGAAGGAAUUUAAGAAACCCUGGGCUAUCUGGUUUCCACCCUUUGGCCUUUAGUAAAAGGAAUGACGUGUGUGCGUGUGUGCGUGUGUGUGUGUGUGUGUGUUUACAUGUUUUUAUAUACAUAAGACCAUCUCUGCAGGAUACGGAGAAGCUGGUAAGAGUGGAGAGCGUUUGCCUUUGUGGGGGAAUGGAGGUUGCUGACUGGCCAGAUGGAGACUUCUGGGCUCUGUACUAGUGUAACAGAGAGUGGGUAAUGAAGAGUUUGACUUUGUUUUUAAUGCCUGACUGCCGACAGCUUCCAGGUCCCAUCACUGUCCCCCUUCUGUCUCACAUCUGGGCGGCUGAUACAGGACACCAGGUGCCCUUUCCCUUGGCUGCCACGGGAAGGUCCAACCAGGUAAGCCCCGGCCCUUGCCAAGCAGAACCCUCGGCCCGGCUCGGCCAUGGAAACGCCAAGCAGAUCCCCUUUCUCUGCUCUCUCAAGCCGUUUCUGGACGUGCUUCCAUCCUGCCCUCCUCAGAGGCUGCAUCGUAUGAUGUGUCUCAUGUCUUGUUAAAUUGCAAAAGACAAGAAACAGUGGGACAGAAUCUGCCCCAGUUGCGUACACAUGGGUGUUCCGAGAAGGCCUGACGCCGAAGGGGACACCUGCACUCCAUUUGUCCCCAUCGUUGGGCCGGAUCCACCAGUGUCACAUUGGAGGAGCACAAAAAUCAACAAACAGUUGUUUUCAGAGUAGAAAAAUCUUGCGGAGAAUGAAGACGCUGACACUGGGUUUUACACGAUAUUCCCACUGGCGGGAAGAAUCACAUUUUCCCAGAAGUCCCUGAGUCUGGAGCCUGGUGAGCCCUCCUGCCUUUGCUCCCCUGGAAACACCUGCAGUAGGAACCCAAGGAUUCCCGGCUCACCCGUGCGCGCCAAGGACGGAAGAUGUAGCCACGACAGACUUCCAGUAUAAGGACAUUUCCUAAAGGGUCAGUGUAACAGGCAGGAUGGAGAGACUUGCAUCUAAGAGCAUAAACAUCUCAGAGUGCGUGGAAGCUGAUGGAUGUUAAUCCAUGCAACUCCUAGAGGAAGCUGAAGAAGGCAAGGAGAUGGAUCCUCCUCCAGCGCCUGGGGAGCGGCGUGGAGGACUCAGCCCAGCCAGACAUCCGCAGCCGAGUGACACCCACCGCAGACUUCUGCCCUAGAGAACUGGCGCUCCUCUGGCUGUUUUGGGCCCUCCCGGCCCCCGUCUUCCGGGCGGUCACGUGCCUCGGCUCACGUGACCUGCGCUUCUGUUGUUCCACUGCGGCUUCCUCCUGCCAGUGAGGCCCUUCACGUCCGCUCGGUGCCGAAUCGGGCUCGCUUUCUGGCGCUGCGUCCCCGCCGCCGCUCAGGCCUGCGGACUCGGCAGGAGACCCGACUCGGCGCCCCAGCACGCCAGCGGUCCCGACUCCGGACCGCCGCAACUUCCCGCCGCCUCGGGGUCCGCAGAAAAACAUUCAAGAUCAUAAAUUUAGACCAAGAUGGACAUCCGGGGUGCCGUGGAUGCAGCCGUUCCAACCAACAUCAUUGCUGCCAAGGCUGCAGAAGUUCGUGCCAACAAAGUGAACUGGCAGUCCUACCUUCAGGGGCAGAUGAUUUCUUCCGAAGACUGCGAAUUCAUUAAAAGAUUUGAAAAGAAAAGAAGUCCUGAGGAGAAGCAGGAGAUGCUUCAGACUGAAGGCAGUCAGUGUGCUAAGACAUUUAUAAAUCUGAUGACUCACAUCUCCAAAGAGCAGACGGUUCAGUACAUACUCACCAUGGUUGAUGACACGCUGCAGGAAAAUCACCAGCGCGUUAGCAUUUUCUUUGACUAUGCUAAACGUAGCAAGAACACUGCCUGGUCCUACUUUCUGCCCAUGUUGAAUCGCCAGGAUCUCUUUACUGUUCAUAUGGCAGCAAGAAUUAUUGCCAAGUUAGCAGCUUGGGGAAAAGAAUUGAUGGAAGGCAGUGACUUAAAUUACUAUUUCAAUUGGAUAAAGACUCAGCUGAGUUCACAGAAACUGCGUGGUAGCGGUGUCGCUGUUGAAACAGGAACAGUCUCUUCAAGCGAUAGCUCUCAGUACGUGCAGUGUGUGGCCGGGUGUCUGCAGCUGAUGCUCCGAGUCAACGAGUACCGCUUUGCCUGGGUGGAAGCAGACGGGGUGAACUGCAUCAUGGGAGUUCUGAGUAACAAGUGUGGCUUUCAGCUCCAGUAUCAGAUGAUUUUUUCUAUAUGGCUCCUGGCGUUCAGUCCUCAGAUGUGUGAACACCUGCGACGCUACAACAUCAUUCCUGUUCUGUCCGACAUCCUGCAAGAAUCGGUCAAAGAGAAAGUGACAAGAAUCAUUCUUGCAGCAUUCCGGAACUUCUUAGAAAAAUCAACUGAAAGAGAAACUCGCCAAGAGUAUGCUCUGGCUAUGAUUCAGUGCAAAGUUCUGAAACAGUUGGAGAACUUGGAACAGCAGAAGUAUGAUGACGAAGAUAUCAGUGAAGAUAUAAAAUUUCUCUUGGAGAAACUUGGUGAGAGUGUCCAGGAUCUUAGCUCAUUUGAUGAAUAUAGUUCAGAACUUAAAUCUGGAAGAUUGGAAUGGAGUCCUGUGCACAAAUCUGAGAAAUUUUGGAGAGAAAAUGCUGUGAGGUUAAAUGAGAAGAAUUAUGAGCUCUUGAAGAUUUUGACCAAACUUCUGGAGGUGUCCGAUGACCCACAAGUCUUAGCUGUUGCUGCCCAUGACGUCGGCGAGUACGUUCGGCAUUACCCGCGAGGCAAGCGGGUCAUCGAGCAGCUCGGCGGGAAGCAGCUGGUGAUGAACCACAUGCACCACGAGGACCAGCAGGUGCGCUACAACGCCCUCCUGGCCGUGCAGAAGCUCAUGGUGCACAACUGACCACCAGGACCCCAGACUCCCUGAUUACAGGCCUGUCAGUGGGAACCCGAAAUCUCUCACCUCAUAGCCAUCCCUCCAGAGAUGCAGUCCACCACCACAGAGAGGCCCAAACUGGAACCCUGCCUGGGUGUCCUUCAACAGGGGAUUGGAUAAGUGCACUGUGGUACAGCCACCCCGCGGAAUACUACCCCCACGAGGAAAAGGAGCAAAGUACCGAUGCACUCAGCAACCUGGAGGAACCUCCAGGGAAUUACGCCUGCUGGCAAAUACAGAGAACGUGGGAGAAGACCAUGCCGUGAUCAUGCUAGUUUUAGAGAUGGUGAGUAUUCUCAGCAAGUUCUGGAACAGUAACGAUGCCAGGUGAGUGCACGUUAAAUCCAGAAAUUGGCAAGCAGGCACACGGCCGUCUCACCGGACUUCUUGUCACAGCAAGUGUCACUUCUUGUCUCUGAACCCAACCGUUGCUACUGACAGUGGAGAGAAUCAAGUGUCAAAUAGCCUGGCGUGGCGGCCUGGGGCAGGACCGGUUCCACAGGGUCUGGGGUGUAGAAUAGGAAACAGGCCUCCUUGGAGAAAGGUAUGAGCCUCAAGUGUCUUCUCACAUAGAUUCCCUGGUUGUAUGUUGUGUUUUAAUUUUAUUUUCCAAAUUGAUUGCAAGUUCUUUCUAUCCCCCCAAAUUUCAUUCCCUCCAAAUACCUAUAGCAAAUGCACCAGAUGCCACUGGUUCAUUUAUUUGAUUAAUAAAUACGUGUUGAAUGCUCUCUGCGUUGCGUAAGCAAAAUAAACCUUUUGCCCAGUGGAUCCCCGGGCUUGACACCAGGCGAGGAAACUGCUGGAUGGUCAGGGAGCUUUGGGACCAUGGACAGAUUCCCUGACAUCUAAGGCUGCUUUGGGUGCUGAGCCUGCGUGGAUGUACGUUCCGUGUCUUUAUCUGGAACUCUAGAAUUAAUGGCUCAGACCAAUUUUAAACCCCUCAGGAGCAUCUGGGGCAUCUUCCUGAUGGCUGACUCUUCCGGGAACGGGGUAAGAUAAAAUCACAGCAGCCCAGGACAAACUGUUCCCACUUCUUCUCAGUGGUGCUCAGAGCCCCCUCCUUCCUGGCUGUCCCCCCGACAGGCCCACCAAGCCUCAGCUAACCCGCCUUGAGCAUCUUCUAUGUCCCAGACUCUGUUCCAACCACCUUCCACGUAUCACAGUAUUUAACGGACAGCGACCCAGUGAGACAGGAGUGUUAGGAUUCCCGUUUCACGGAGGGGGCCGCUGAGGCACACAGCUACAUAACCUCCCCAAUGUCUGUAGCUGGUGCGUGACAGAGUGCGGACGCCUGGGUCCCUGGUGCCGUCUGAGCCCGAGCAGGGUCACUGCGAUUGUCUCGUCUUCGCGGUCAGUGGCCCGAGGGGCUUCUUGCUUGGACAUCGGGACUCUCUCCUGUUGCUUCCCCGGCUGACCGAGGCUCCCGUCGUGGCCCAGCUGGUGUGGGUGGGUCCUGGGCUGUGGACUGGCUCUGUGUUGCUGGGGGCCAGCAGGAGCCUGAGAUUCCUCGUGCCUCACUGUCCGGGACACUUGGGGGCUCCCAGGCCUUGAGGGGUUCAGUCUCGGGGGCCUUGUCUUUUACUGUGAAUGUUUCCAGAGCUGCAGCUGGGGGUUUGGGGGUUCAGGGUGGAGCUCCCCUCCCAGCUCCUUGGAGGGGGCCUGAGGUUCUCUCUGUGACACUAGGAUUCUCCCUCAAGAGCAAAUCGGUGAUGUGUGCAUGUCACUGGUGCCGAGUCCCUUGGGGAUGUACACCAGUGAGUGUCCACCACAUGCUAGAAACUUCUGGCACCCCCUCUGCCCCAUCCUUAAGCCCCCUCUUGUGUGGGUGAUGCCCAGGGCUGGCAUCUCCUGAUCUCCGGAGGGUUAGGAGUCUAGAGUCUGCUCGACUGGGCCCCUUUCUUUGAAUUCAUACAAACGCAUUUUACUAAUUCUUGAGAAAAAGCAAUUCCAAUUAUUUGGAAAGACACAGCAUUUCUGAAGAAAGGGCAAACUUGUUUAUUUCUUCCAGCCUGGAAGUGGGUAUUAUGCUUGUUUUUUCCAAGUCCUAACUGCCCGGAGGGAGUUAACCUUCAGCAGGUCACAAACAGUCUUAUUUUUAAAUGGUGAAAUGGAUUGAAAAGGUUUGCAGAGGUUACUCAGUUUACCUGGUCUCGGGAGCGGAAGCAAACCCGGGACCGUCUCGUCUCCCUCAGCCCCCUCAGUUCACAGGUGCCGGGGAGCUCAGUGGAGAAUCGGGGUCCUAAAGUUUGUGUGGGGUCUUUGCAGCAUUUUCUAGAACUCCCCGCCGUCUCAUGAGGGUCCUUCAGCAGGAACCUGAAGAAGGCGAGCCAGUGCUCAGGGGAAGCCCCAGGGCACAGCCGGCUCAGUAAACGUGUACGAAAGGAAUGACUCCUAGACGAAGUAGUGACGUGUCUGAAGGCAUUUUACAUAAGAGAAGACUUUCCUGCGAAGAUGCUGAACCACUGUCUACCAGAUAAGGUGUCGGGACUGAAGGUCACCACACGCCACAAGACAGGACAGCUGCUGCUCCCAGGGAGAAGUUUCUGGAGCCCAAAGCUGGAUUUCUACAUGGAAUCAGGACCCCCUGGGGGCUCCCCUCUGCUGCCCGAAGUUCUCUCUGACCUUGACCCUCUGCCAGGCUCUGAGCAGGAGGUGUGGAAAGACGGAGAAACCCAGACCAAAUAUGAUUCUGAUUCCACCAGGAGCAGGUCACUUAAACUGAGCUUCAGUUUCCUGGCUUGUGAAACGGAG